rnacentral:tRNA from 1 species
GUUUUGGUAGUUCAAAAAGGACGUGGUGCUGAAACCACCAAGGUUAACUAGGGUUACUAAAACA